rnacentral:rRNA from 1 species
GAUGAACGCUGGCGGCGUGCCUAAUACAUGCAAGUCGAGCGAACGGACGAGAAGCUUGCUUCUCUGAUGUUAGCGGCGGACGGGUGAGUAACACGUGGAUAACCUACCUAUAAGACUGGGAUAACUUCGGGAAACCGGAGCUAAUACCGGAUAAUAUUAUGAACCGCAUGGUUCAAAAGUGAAAGACGGUCUUGCUGUCACUUAUAGAUGGAUCCGCGCUGCAUUAGCUAGUUGGUAAGGUAACGGCUUACCAAGGCAACGAUGCAUAGCCGACCUGAGAGGGUGAUCGGCCACACUGGAACUGAGACACGGUCCAGACUCCUACGGGAGGCAGCAGUAGGGGAUCUUCCGCAAUGGGCGAAAGCCUGACGGAGCAACGCCGCGUGAGUGAUGAAGGUCUUCGGAUCGUAAAACUCUGUUAUUAGGGAAGAACAUAUGUGUAAGUAACUGUGCACAUCUUGACGGUACCUAAUCAGAAAGCCACGGCUAACUACGUG